CUUCGUGGCAGAAAGGGACACAUUUGGCUCCGUUACUAAACCCUCUGCCUGCCACCCUCCUACCAGACUUCCUGCUUAGUCUUUAUUUAAGUCCUUUGAACAAAUGUCCAACAAGGCAAAGACGCCAGCUGGAUACAGGAUGGAAACUGUGUUGGGGAGGGACAGCCUGUCUCCAGGUAACGGCGGAAAUAAGGCCUUGCUCUUGUUCAGAUGAGCAAGGCUUCCAAAUGUUAGCUCCUUCCCUAUCUUGCAGGAAGACCUGGAAGAGACAUUAUAUGCUGAGCAGCAUUCUCAGCCAUUUGAAAGAAGGUGACAUACUCAGCCCAAUGGUGACAUUGUAAGGAAGCAGGUUUAUGUGUUCUCUUUUCUUAGGAUGUGCCUGUUGCCGGCAGCAGUGACCUGAGAUUGGGGGCAUGGCCAUGCCAAACAAAAGUGAACUUUGACUUUUGACCUCUAACUCCAGCUUAAAUUUGAGUAGCAGUAGGGAGGGGUGGAGAGAAAUCCCAGCUUCAUCCCUUUGACAUCUACGAGAAGAUGAAGGUUGAAAAUGCUCUUCUAUAAGUGACUGGAUUGUUAAAAUUAAAGCGGCUGAAUAGCUUUCUCCUCUAUCAUCACCAUAGACUGCGUGGCUAUCAUGAACAUUUUUUUGAGGAUUGACUCAGCAGGUGGAAUUAUCAUUACCAAGGAGCUUAUAUUCUGGAGACCUGGAUUCCCUUUACUAUUAAACCAGGUUGGCAAACCACCAAAGGGAAACACGGUAUGGUCUUUAAAGGGUAGCACAAUCGACUUCCUGAGAGCACAAUUCUUGCCGAGGGCACGUUUUUCAUUUCAAGUCCACCUAUAAUCAAGAGAUGGAAUUCCGGAGUCUAAUUAGUUUCGUGCCACCCAUCACCCCCACCAACCAAGCAGCAGCCGAGGGGAUGGAGGCCUCUACAGAAUACACUGUAGAGCCAACUCGCCCAAACCGUGGAGACGCAGAAAGGAUGAUUGAACUGGAAAUACAGUUGUUAGUCAAUUUUUUCUUUACUGUGACAAAAUGCCUGAGGAAAAACCAAAUUAAAGGAGGAAAGACUUACAUACUUCCUUUGAACCGUGCUUUCGGGGGGGGGGGGCGCAUAGUCUCAGUGACCCCAAUGCUUUGGGCCGGAGACAAAGGCAACUGUGAUGGACCAUGAGGCCUGGCAGAGAAUGGCUGCUCCCCAUCCUCGUCCUUUUCCUUCCCUUCUCCUGCCUUCCCCACUUUCUUAUAGUCGAUUUCAGUUUUUAUAAGUUUAAUGCUUCUGAAAAAUUUGGAGCAGAAAGUAGAAAAUUCCCACAUGACAUUUAGUCUAAAUUUUCCUUGUUAUUUACAUCUUGCAUUAGCGCAUGAUAUGCUCAUCAUAAGUGAUGAGCCAAUAUAGAAAACCUGAAGUUCAUAGUUUAGAUUAGGGUCCGCCCUUUGUGAUGGGCAGAUCUAUAGGUCCUGGCAAAUACCUAUUGUCAUGUCUCCAUUGUCACAUGAUACGGAAUAACUUAGUUGUCUUAAAUUUUUUGUAUUCUGCUCACUCAUUUCUCUCUUCCCUCAAAUCCCUAGAAACUAUGAACCUUUCUAGAAUGGCAAAUGGAAGCAGAUAGUAUGUGGAGUUUUCAGAUAGCCUUCUCAUUAGGCAGAAUGCAAUUAAAUUUUUUCUGUUUUUA